rnacentral:tRNA from 1 species
AGGUAUAUAGCUCAGUGGUAGAGUGCGUGCCUAGCAUGCACAAGGUCCCGGGUUCAAUACCCAGUAUCUCCG